rnacentral:rRNA from 2 species
AGACCCGAAACCCGGUGAUCUAGCCAUGGGCAGGUUGAAGGUUGGGUAACACUAACUGGAGGACCGAACCGACUAAUGUUGAAAAAUUAGCGGAUGACCUGUGGCUGGGGGUGAAAGGCCAAUCAAACCGGGAGAUAGCUGGUUCUCCCCGAAAGCUAUUUAGGUAGCGCCUCGUGAAUUCAUCUCCGGGGGUAGAGCACUGUUUCGGCUAGGGGGCCAUCCCGGCUUACCAACCCGAUGCAAACUGCGAAUACCGGAGAAUGUUAUCACGGGAGACACACGGCGGGUGCUAACGUCCGUCGUGAAGAGGGAAACAACCCAGACCGCCAGCUAAGGUCCCAAAGUCAUGGUUAAGUGGGAAACGAUGUGGGAAGGCCCAGACAGCCAGGAUGUUGGCUUAGAAGCAGCCAUCAUUUAAAGAAAGCGUAAUAGCUCACUGGUCGAGUCGGCCUGCGCGGAAGAUGUAACGGGGCUAAACCAUGCACCGAAGCUGCGGCAGCGAACGUAUCACUUAAAGCGAUUCAGCGGGUUACGAUUGACGGAGCGAAGCGACGUCAAAGCGUAUACAAAGUCGAGUCGGUUUAAGGAUACGUUCGUUGGGUAGGGGAGCGUUCUGUAAGCCUGUGAAGGUGUGUCGUGAGGCAUGCUGGAGGUAUCAGAAGUGCGAAUGCUGACAUAAGUAACGAUAAAGC